UACAGAGGAUGCAAGCGUUAUCCGGAAUGAUUGGGCGUAAAGCGUCUGUAGGUGGCUUUUUAAGUCCGCCGUCAAAUCCCAGGGCUCAACUCUGGACAGGCGGUGGAAACUACCAAGCUGGAGUACGGUAGGGGCAGAGGGAAUUUCCGGUGGAGCGGUGAAAUGCGUAGAUAUCGGAAGGAACACCAGUGGCGAAAGCGACUUCCUGGUCGAAUACUGACGUUCAUGUGCGAAAGCGUGGGGAGCAAACAGG
rnacentral:rRNA from 1 species